UCCUGGCGUCAGAUUGUAACGGCUGGCGGCGAUGCUUUACUACAUGCAAGUCGAACGGCGAGCGCGGGGCGAACCUGGCGGCGAGUGGCGAACGGGUGAGUAAUAUAUCGGAACGUACCCAACGAUGGGGGAGUAACGUAGCGAAAGUUAACGCUAAUACCGCAUACGAUCCAAGGAUGAAAGCAGGGGAGUCUUCGGACCUUGUGCUCCUGGAGCAGCCGAUAUCUGAUUAGCUAGUUGGUGAGGUAAAGGCUCACCAAGGCGACGAUCAGUAGCUGGUCUGAGAGGACGACCAGCCACACUGGAACUGAGACACGGUCCAGACUCCUACGGGAGGCAGCAGUGGGGAAUUUUGGACAAUGGGCGAAAGCCUGAUCCAGCAAUGCCGCGUGGGUGAAGAAGGCCUUCGGGUUGUAAAGCUCUUUUGUCAGGGAAGAAACGGUUGAGGCUAAUAUCCUCGACUAAUGACGGUACCUGAAGAAUAAGCACCGGCUAACUACGUG
rnacentral:rRNA from 1 species